UAGGGAAUCUUCGGCAAUGGACGGAAGUCUGACCGAGCAACGCCGCGUGAGUGAAGAAGGUUUUCGGAUCGUAAAGCUCUGUUGUUAGAGAAGAACGUUGGUAGGAGUGGAAAAUCUACCAAGUGACGGUAACUAACCAGAAAGGGACGGCUAACUACGUGCCAGCAGCCGCGGUAAUACGUAGGUCCCGAGCGUUGUCCGGAUUUAUUGGGCGUAAAGCGAGCGCAGGCGGUUCUUUAAGUCUGAAGUUAAAGGCAGUGGCUUAACCAUUGUACGCUUUGGAAACUGGAGGACUUGAUUGCAGAAGGGGAGAGUGGAAUUCCAUGUGUAACGGUGAAAUGCGUAGAUAUAUGGAGGAACACCGGUGGCGAAAGCGGCUCUCUGGUCUGUAACUGACGCUGAGGCUCGAAAGCGUGGGGAGCAAACAGG
rnacentral:rRNA from 1 species